AGAGUUCGAUUCUGGCUCAGGAUGAACGCUGGCGGCGUGCCUAACACAUGCAAGUCGAGCGAAGCGCUUUACUUAGAAUCUUUCGGGAGGAAGAGUGUAGUGACUGAGCGGCGGACGGGUGAGUAACGCGUGGGUAACCUGCCUCAUACAGGGGGAUAACAGUUAGAAAUGACUGCUAAUACCGCAUAAGCGCACAGGACUGCAUGGUCCAGUGUGAAAAACUCCGGUGGUAUGAGAUGGACCCGCGUCUGAUUAGCUAGUUGGUAAGGUAACGGCUUACCAAGGCGACGAUCAGUAGCCGACCUGAGAGGGUGACCGGCCACAUUGGGACUGAGACACGGCCCAA
rnacentral:rRNA from 1 species